rnacentral:rRNA from 1 species
GUCGUCAGCUCGUGUCGUGAGAUGUUGGGUUAAGUCCCGCAACGAGCGCAACCCUUGUCACUAGUUGCCAUCAUUUGGUUGGGCACUCUAGUGAGACUGCCGGUGACAAACCGGAGGAAGGUGGGAUGACGUCAAGUCCUCAUGGCCCUUAUGGUAGGGCUUCACACGUCAUACAAUGGUCGGUACAGAGGGUUGCCAAGCCGCGAGGUGGAGCCAAUCCCUUAAAGCCGAUCGUAGUCCGGAUCGUAGUCUGCAACUCGACUACGUGAAGUCGGAAUCGCUAGUAAUCGCAGAUCAGCAUGCUGCGGUGAAUACGUUCCCGGGUCUU